rnacentral:pre_miRNA from 1 species
ACAACAUUCGGACCGUCGGUCUAACGAGCAAAUAUCACCAGCUCGGUGGAAGAUCUUCCCUUUGUCGU